rnacentral:rRNA from 1 species
AGUGAACGCUGGCGGUAGGCCUAACACAUGCAAGUCGAACGGCAGCACAGUAAGAGCUUGCUCUUACGGGUGGCGAGUGGCGGACGGGUGAGGAAUACAUCGGAAUCUACUUUUUCGUGGGGGAUAACGUAGGGAAACUUACGCUAAUACCGCAUACGACCUACGGGUGAAAGCAGGGGAUCUUCGGACCUUGCGCGAUUGAAUGAGCCGAUGUCGGAUUAGCUAGUUGGCGGGGUAAAGGCCCACCAAGGCGACGAUCCGUAGCUGGUCUGAGAGGAUGAUCAGCCACCCUGGAACUGAGACACGGUCCAGACUCCUACGGGAGGCAGCAGUGGGGAAUAUUGGACAAUGGGCGCAAGCCUGAUCCAGCCAUACUGCGUGGGUUAAGAAGGCCUUCGGGUUGUAAAGCCCUUUUGUUGGGAAAGAAAAGCAGCAGGUUAAUACCCCGCUGUUCUGACGGUACCCAAAGAAUAAGCACCGGCUAACUUCGUG